rnacentral:misc_RNA from 1 species
AUUUAAAUGUGUUCUUGUCUCUUUUUCGUUUAGUUGUCGGCAGCUAAACUGACGCUGCAACAGAUAAAUGCGUAGAGUUGUGUGGCACCCCUUGGAGUUUAUAGCGGCUCGCAAACAACGCGACGCGAUAAGGCCGGUCAGAAAGUAUCUCAAGGUUAUGUUGUUUGAAUUGCAGCUUCGCGUAUUCUCUUUAUCGCUAAGAGCGCGUAUAAGCAAGAGCUAUUCGCGAUUAUUAUUGUAUAUAAAUUGUCAGCCAAAUUGAAGCGGCACCCACAGCUUGUUCGCCAGUCUCGUCAGCGAUUCGAACGCUCCAGGUGCGCUCGCUAUUUGUUCAGCCAACUGCGAUAGACAGUGCGUGCCUUUGUUUAUUGUUAAAUUCAAUUUUUUAUGAAACUAUAUUCAUUAGCCUUGCUCAGUACUAAAUAAUAAAAGUAGAAAAAAUGCGUUUGAUUAUCUUGGAAACAAGCGAAUCGGUUGGGAAUUGGGCGGCCAAGUAUGUGGUCAAGCGGAUCAAUGAUUUCAAGCCGGGACCCGAUAGAUACUUUGUGCUGGGCCUGCCCACGGGUAGCACACCUUUGGGCAUGUACAGAGCCCUGAUUGAGUUCUACAAACAGGGCAAGGUCUCCUUUCGGUACGUGAAGACCUUCAAUAUGGAUGAGUAUGUGGGUCUGCCGCGUGAUCAUCCCGAGAGCUAUCACUAUUUUAUGUGGCACAAUUUCUUCAAACACAUCGAUAUUGAGCCCGCGAAUGUGCAUAUAUUGGAUGGAAAUGCGCCCGAUUUGGUUGCCGAGUGCAAACAGUUUGAGGAGCUGAUCAAGGAAGCUGGCGGCGUAGAGCUAUUCAUUGGCGGCAUUGGACCCGAUGGCCAUAUAGCCUUCAAUGAGCCCGGCUCAUCGUUGGUCUCGCGCACACGUGUCAAGACGCUGGCACAGGAUACGCUGGAGGCGAAUGCUCGUUUCUUUGAUAAUGACAUUAAUAAAGUGCCCAAACAGGCGCUCACUGUGGGCGUCGGCACCGUCAUGGAUUCAAAUGAGGUCAUGAUCCUGAUUACCGGCGCCCACAAGGCCUUCGCUCUCUAUAAGGCCAUCGAGGAGGGCGUCAAUCAUAUGUGGACUGUCAGCGCAUUCCAGCAGCAUGCAAAUACUUUGAUGAUCUGCGAUGAAGACGCGACACUGGAGCUGCGCGUAAAGACGGUUAAAUACUUCCAGACUGUUCAAGCAAAUGAAUCUAAAGACUGUUUAAAAGAAACUCUAAUGAAAAAUAUUGGAACUCAAGAAAUGUUUCAGAAACUGUGAGGGAGGACUUUCAAGAGCUAAACAAAGGGAUGCAAUAAAUAAGAAGAAUAAAUACAAAAGCCUUAUGGGUGUA